AAAUUAUAUUAUAUAUUGAUGUAAUAGUGUACUAACAGAUUUUGAAACAUUAAAUAUAUGCUUUUGCAAAGUAGAAAAUUAGAUUCUACUGUUAAAGCAUAUAUCAGAAUAGUACAUUAAGGGUUAAACUAUGUUAUUAACAUCUUUUGAUUAAAUUUUUUUACUAAUUUAAAUUUUUUCUUUAUUAUGUUGGACACUAACAUAUCCAGCUUACAGGAUUCAGCUAUGAAUCCAUCAAUACAUAUGUUGAAUAAGUCAUCAUCUAGGAAAAAUUUGGAACCAGGUGCUGACAGGGAAUUAAUGCCUCCUCCUCCUUUACUACCUUUAGUGAAAGAUCCUUCAGGUAGUGUCAUUUUAACAAUGUUUAUGCUGAUCUUAACAGUUUUUUUAUUUUACAGGCAAGUAGACAUGGAGAUAAGUGAUGUGCAGAUCAAAUGCAAAUGCUGUUAGUAUUUAACCACACUCCAUAAAAUAUUUGAUACUGUCGCCUAUAUUUAUUUAUUAUCUUUUUAUAUUACUUGAAUUUUAAUUUUCAAACAGUAAUUAAAACUAAUAACAUGAAUUAAAAAAUUAAUGCUAAUAUUACUUUAUUUUUAUCAUUUAUUUUGAAAACUACUCCAAUUAUAUCUUAGAUGGGAACAAUUAAAGAAUAUCAGUUAUUUUAUGGAUGGCAUUUGCAUUAAAUGGAAAACUGCAACAUUUGAUUUAUUAAUUACUAUCUUUCUUUCUUCUUUAGUUGCUAUAAACCGCAGAAAUUUAAUAUUGUUUACAGUUUCCUCAUAGGUCAGUGCAUCUACAAAGGAAUCCAGUUAUUUUGUUGUUUUUUUUUUUUUUUUAAUAUUUUGAUAAUUAUUUUA
rnacentral:lncRNA from 1 species